rnacentral:lncRNA from 7 species
ACACAGUUAACACAGUGUCCCAGCAGAGUGCCAGCUUCAGAUAAGCCUGUCUGUGACCCGGAUUGCUGUCCUGAGCCAGAGGAUGGGGGUUAGCACUUACUGGGCUCUUUCCACCCGCUGAACCUUCGAGCAACACCACGAGAUCAGAUGAUGCAUAUUUAUAAUGCACCCCACCUGACACAUUCCAGGGAGCCUGAGACACGCUCAGCAGAGUAAUGAACAAUCAAAUCCCUUUGGUAAUUUAUUUCUUCUGCUGUACAAUCUAGAGGAGGUGAUGACACACGAAAUUGCCUCUCCUGGAGGAACGAAGGGGCCACAUCCUGACUCCCAUUACAUCUCUUGAUCUCAGCAGCCUGCUCUCACCAACCAGAGCACGGCAGGUCCCGUGUCCGUGCUGAGCCAGAGACACAGCCCUGCUUCCUUGAUGAGCCCAUUAGGGUCACACUAUUACAAGCAGCCACCAGACAAAUUCCGUCAGAGAGAAGGGACAUGGACUUCAGCUCACACUCUUAUCAGCUGUACUAAUGGAGUUAAUUUGCUCAUCAACCUUCAGCAUCACUCCUGGGUAUGUCUCACUCCGCUUGACCACGUGCCCUGGGCCAUGUUUGCAUGGUUUUACUCCCAGGGUGCUUCCAGCAUGGGAUGGCUCUACCUUGGAUGUUCCCAGAGCUGAGAUCAGCUCCGUGUUUGCAUGGCUGCAAGCUCCUGCUCAUGCCGUAUCCAGCUGAGCAUUUGUUAGCUUGCAGAGCUUCCCCCGUCUCCAGUACAGAUCAAACAGAAGAGCUGCAAAGAGAGAGACCUGUCAGCGUGAAAGAGAAGCUGCAAAAAGGUUGUCUGUCAUGGGUUUGUUUUUUUUUUUUUCUCUUGUUUUAUACAAGUAAAAGGAAGGGUGCUGCAACACCCCGCCCACACCAAUUAUAACCCCCUCCCCCCCAACCCCCGGACCUCGAACAAAUCAUUACAAAGGAUGGAAAACAAAACCAACCGAACAAACAGAAAAUCAUAAAAGUCCAUUACAUUAUUUGUACC